GGCCCUUCCACGAUGGACGCCAUCUUGGGAGCCGCCAAUGACAACAAACGGCCUGACUGUCCACUUGGAUACCCACAUCUCAGCUAACCUGGGCACUAGCUUCAAGAUGCUUGAACUAUCAUUUGAACUCUAUGCAUUGUUAGGGAUUGAACCAAAGGCCUCAUGAAUACAAGGCAAG